rnacentral:lncRNA from 1 species
UUUUCUUUAUUUAAUUAGUUAUGCGUUGUAAAUUAUGUUUUCAUUGUAGGUCACCCUUAAGAUGUAAAAUUUCAUUAAACAUACAUGCAUCUGUGUUGUAUGGAUACCUUGUUUCCAGGGAACCUAUUUAAGAAAAGACGGUAUCGCACUUGUUUUAACGUAGACUCUGUUUGGAUAUUGUAACCAAUCCAUGGAUUACCAAACCCGUAAUUUCGCAUUUUUUGGAAAAUAGUUAUUUUAUAAAAACUUGUUUGGUGAGCCAACUCCAUCGUCGUUUCCACAAAGCUAGUCCUGGAUAUGUGAGGCUCUUGCAUUGAGGGUAGUGAUACAGCCGGAGCCUGUAGCGCCAUCGUUGAAAUAUUCUACCACCCUUGGCCUGCUUUGUUAUCAUCGCCGUCGUUGCUUCCACCCUCAAAGCAGUCCUCCGCUUUCGGCCCUUGCCCAUGGUCGCUGCAACUUGCCAAAGAGGAUGACCAGAUAGGAGGAAGAUGUUUCCAUAGUCGGCCGCGUAUGCCUUUGGCAAUCACAUCGGCACCGGAACUCAUGGACAUAUGUGGCAAAGCCUCACCGGUGAAAAAUCUUGAUGAAGAUGCAAUCAUCAUUAACAACCUUGUCUCAAGCAGAGGCUAUUUCAACUCAAACUCGGCUCUGAUUGAAAUUCCUGUAGUGAUUAGCAGCAGCUCGUAUUCAGAUGGCCUCGAGAAUACAAAUCAAACAGAGCACACAUGAAAUGAUCGCCCGUGGUAGGGAAUCUUUGAAAGGAAGCUGAAGGAGGCGAGGUCCAGGGCAAGGGAGAAGGCCCAUUGGGACGUGCUAGAGAUAAAGAGGACAGUAAUGCCUACCAAGAAAAUACACUGGGUGGUUUUGAAAGGCCUCAUCAUUGCUAAGGAUAACAUGGCGUGCCCCGACAACAUCUUGUGGGAUCUUGGGUUCUUCCUUGAGAUCGACGGUCACCCGAAGUCCUGAAUUAGUGGAAACAUCAAAGAUGGGUCGCGAUGUUGCGUCAGAUAUGAAACUUCACGUAAUACACAUAUCAAAUAUUUGAAGCUCUUAUCUCCAAACAAAGUAUUCCAUAAACCAAGUCUAACAAAACAAGUUAAAACUGGUUUUAUAAAAACCCUCUUUUAGCCGAUUUCGCUAAAACUAGUUCCAUAUGUACCGGUUAUCCAAACAACAGCUAAGGUGUAGGAUAGCAAAGUAGGACGGUUUUGUAAUUCAGCAUGGGGAUUUUUCUUCACAAUGGUAUUCCACAGUUCAAACUUCUGACCAGAGUAUCAUAUGUAUGUAGCGUCGCCAUUGGACAUGAGCACGGGAUUGCAAUCUUGGAAAUCGAUAGAUUUUUUCCGAAGGUCCUGCCUCCUGUAAGGUAACCGUGGAACAGAGGAAAAUAAAGCUUGAACGAUGGAGCACUGAUUGCACGAUUGAGUUAUGCCAAUGCAAAUUUGGUGCAGAGAUUGUUCUCAAUGGUGUUAUUCAGUUAUGUGAUUAGCGUUGCCUAUUUGUACUGUAGAAAUAUGUAAUAUGUGCAUUGGAGUAUAUACAUUCCUAUUGAUGAGACAUGGGUUCCCUCACAAUUUACUUUCCUUCGUGAGUUGUAUGAACUUUGCACAUUUCUUCAUGUGUUUCUGAUUUUUAAUUUGUUAUGAACUAUGGGCUUUCUGCGGUACAUAUUCCUGUCAUAACGCACGUAAUAUGUACCCAACACGGAAGCCAUUUCACCUCUCUUGAGCCGCUUUGUGCUGGCCCAUUCAGGGGUGAAAGCAGAGGGAACAGCUGAUAUGAUAAAACCAUACAACAAUGUUCUGGGAUGUCAUAACGAAACUAGAUAUGUUUAAUUGAGCAGCGGAAGAAGGAAAACAGCCACAGCUCCGCGGCAAAGAAGGAAAUAUAGGCAGUGUACCAGGGGAUACAACUAAGCAUCACAUGCUUUGUCCAUGUCGCACAAAAUUACCGGACUGUGACUACCAAAAUUAGCUGAUAACACAAUACAACAAGCAACAUCAUCAAAAUCAACCCCAUUUCCUGGGGCUUCUGCUGCCACGACCCUUUGCUAUGGAGCAGAGGACGAACUAGGCGAUGAGCCUGGCCAGGUCGAUCUGUUUGCUCUCUGUCAGCAAUGCCAUGCUUCACUCCGGCCAUGACAAUGAAAAGAAUCAGCAUAGUAAAGUUUUACAAAGGUGUAAAAGGAUUACUAUGGUUUUUGCUCAACAUUGCAACAAAUGUUCUUUUCUUGAGAUCUACUGAUCUGCAUCAUAAGCCCUAUGAACAGUUCGAUUUUCUUAUAUGCAUCAGUAAAAGUAAUAGGCAUCAGGUUGCAAAAAUAAAGUUCUUUCAUUUCUAUGUUGCAUUGUCCAUGUGUUAAACAAGCAAAUCCCCAAGACUGGAACACUGCAUAAAUUACUUGGUUUGAAAUAGUACAGAAUCCCACACCAUCUACAGAAUCCCACAAAUAAAAAUACUUGGAUCGAAUCCCACAAAUAAAAAUACUUGGAUCGAAUCCCACACCAUCUACAGGAUCCCAUCCAUACGGUUCAACAAUGAAGGAUCGAAUCCCACAAAUAAAAAUGAAUGACUCAAGUUGAUGGUUUAAAGCACCAGCAUGUAUUAUACUCCCUCCGUCUCAAAAUUCUUGUCUUAGAAGGCAUCUAGUCACAUUUUAGUAUUUAGAUACAUUCAUCUCUAGACAAAGCUAAGACAAGAAUUUUGAGACGGAGGGAGUACAUAAUAAGGGAGGAAAACUUAAAUACAUUAUGAGUCUGUCCACCAUAGUACACAAGUUAUACUUGAUAAUAUUGUCUCAUUAUGAGCAGAUGGUUGAAACCCAUGCGAAGAUUUAUUCUACUGUUGCAUCUACUGGCGCAUGCAGAUGAUGACAAAUGCAAUUCAGAUGUUCAGCGCAAUACACGCAGGCGUAGCAGCAACAUGCCGAUUCAGAUCAAUUGUACUUGAACACAAAACAUUGGUCUUAAAGUCAAGAAACAGUUACCCUUACAGGACCAGUUUUUAACUAAAAUAAACAUCAGGUCUUGCGCAAGACUAGGCCACAAAACCCUGUGACAAGAUGACUAGGCAGAACCAUAAAUUAGACUGGGGAACACCCAGAGGCUACUUAGUAAACUGUAGUCGCAAGGGUAUGCACGACCAUAGAAUAGGUACUGAACUGUUUUUUCUUGCACUGGCUGACCAAGCUCAACCGCAACCCAAGAUUCAUAAGGUUCUUCAAGUAGCUUGGCAACCCUAGAUUCAGCAGGGUCUUCAAGUAGCUUGGCAGCAUAAAUGCAGUUACUCUUUCCUCCCCAUCUUUCCGGGCUCAUGCAGGAGAAUGUAGGAUUCCUCUUAUCAAGGCUAAUAAACAGGGCAUAAUUUUCCAACUUGUCCAUCUUCACAAACUUAGCUGGCUCGACAGCAAGGUCAAGGCGGAAGACAUCGAAGGUGUGACUAUAUGUGCCGUGCCAAUGAAAAGAGGUUACUGAGAGGUCAACCAUGAGAAGCAUGUCAGCACAGGACACGAACCAUGGGUUAAUAGGAAAAAAGGGUUCCCACAUAAAUUCUAAUUCUUGCACGCUGAACUGAGGUGUAAAGUGUACAGUGUGGAUCCUCAUACGAUAAUCGAUGACAAAGAUAUCACCUUUGAAGAUCACAAUCUGACGAAUAUCUUCAUGACCGAGAGCAAGAGGGUGCUCUGACCAGCAGUCUGUUCCAACCUGCCACUCAAGCAUGGAAGAUUCCGAGCAAAGGAGUAGGCGAGAGUUGGGUGAAUUGAGUGGGGCCGUAAGGACAUCUAUGCCAUGAAAGCACCAAAGAUUGUUGUUGCGUGGGAUUUUGGGGGGCUUCACCUUGGUACCGGUGUAAACAUCAAUGAGGAAGCAGUGCUCCGCGUAUGAGAAGAUAAGAUAUCCAUAUGAGCAGCCCAAAUAUCGCAUUGUAUCUGGAGUAUUUUGAGGCACCGAACACGCAAGAGAUGAGUUUUUCUUGCUUGGAUCACUGAGCUGCCACUUCCAAUUAGAUAAAAGGGUGGGCUUGAUACCGUUGCAAUGUGGACUAACAUGAGGACCAUCUGGUUUGAAGUGGAGUGGUGGGAAGCCCAAGGUAUACACAGAGGGAACUGUAGAGACCGCAGCGCGCCAAGAAUGGCAGGUGCCGAUGAAAGCAAGGAAGUCAUGGAAUGAGUUGAAGAGAGCAAUAAUUUCAUGAAGCAGGUUGUCCAGGAGAUCUGCACAAACAUAAGGUCCAGACAAAGGCGAGGAGGUAGAGGUGGAGGCACGGCAGAUGUUCUUAGAGUACCUCUCCACAGCGGCAGCUUCCCUGGCACAUAGAAAUUCAACAACAAUGAAUCUAAAUAAAGGACUGAAAAAAUAAUAGAUUUAAUAUUUCACGAGUUAAUACAGUAGAAGAAACGCCGUAGGCUCUAACUGAACAAUAAGGCAAACAGCAGUGUCAACUGGUACAUGCAAAAUUCAACCAGAACAAGCUAUGUGAGAAGCACCCACGGCUUGAUUGUUUUCCACAAUAGCACAACUAGAAUCCUUUUGGUGUCCCAUCCGUAUGUACAAUUUUUUUUUUCACUUUAAAGUCAUGCCAUCCGUAUGCACAUCCGCCCGGUAAACUAAAUCACACAAUGCGGCGAAUAAAAAUUUCCAUUACAUUAAAAGUGACAUAAUCCCCUCCCCUCCCCUCCCCUGUUCAUGUGGAAAACUCUAGAAAAAAAAGUUUUUUCCUUGCCAACAACCAGGAUGGCCACAAAAGCGUCCAUCUAAAUCACAUUUGACAUAAAGUUUCACUUAAUCAGUAAACAAAGUAGAGGUGUGCUUCGGUAGACCAACCCUCCCCCCCAAAAAAAAAACCGUAGAAGGGGAAACGUAUACCCAACUCAUAUUGUACAUUACAAGCCACUAAUGGUCGAUUGAUUGAUGCGCGGGAGGAUCUGGUCAACUCUCUUCUUAUGGUAGCUUUGGAUCCGUCCCCGUCCGCUCAGGAUAUAAACAAGAAGUGGGUAAAAAAGAGAGAGGAGCAAGUUUAGGGUGCAGACCUGGAGCUGAGGUGGCUUCUGCCGGCGGCGAGCCCGCUCUAACGUCGCGGCGGCGGCGGCUUCCGGCCAUGUCAGCGCAGCAGAGCCAGUCUACCCUAGUACCAGUUCUCGGCGUGGGGAGUGGGGAGGAUGGCUCGGCCUGCAGGAAAAUGAAAAUAAGGUUGGUAGGGCCGUGCGCCCACUGCCCGCGUCGGCCCACUUUCUGACUAUGGAAAUGCAACACCUCUCUCUCAAAAAAGAAAAUAG